UCAUCCCAUUCUUCCUGAGGCUCAGUAACCCAUGCUCCUGUUUGCCAUUGAGCAUGAACAUGAACAGUGUCGGGGCACAGCUCUCAAUGGUGACCGUGGCUUUCCCAUUCACUGUGGAGAGGAAGUCCGGGUCAGGGCUGCGGGCUUCGUGGGAAGAGCUCCGUGCCUGUCUCAGAGAACCCUUGGCAGAAGUGUGCUGAGCAUCUCGGAGGAGGUGAAGCACUGGGGACCCCAAAGGCCUUCUGGAGGAGGCAUCCCAGAGAACAGCAAGUGGGAGGAGAAGAUGGAGAAUCUGAGCAUAUAGCUGCUGGCAGUGAGGCUCCUUAGGACCUGCCCCUUCUCACACAUGGCCUAGGUCAAACCCGAGGGGCUCCUGGGUUUAGCUGGAAGGGGCACCAUGGGGAGUCCGAGGAGAGAUCUAGUCGUGGAAAGGUGAGAAGCUCCAGCUCCUCAUAAGUGAUCCAGAACCAGCUUUGGGGAAGGCAACUGUACCUAGGCAAGGCUGUCCAGCCUUCCUCUUCCACUUGGCCCUUCCUUCCCCUCCCCCACAGGAUGCCUCCCUCCUUCGACCUGUGCCCCCCACCCUACACACAGACCAGACACUUGGCAAAGGGGAGCCUCGUACUUACAGAAAGGUAAAUUUGGAGGUGGUAGUGUCCACCAGGCCACUACCCCAGGUGCUGUCCAGCAGGUGCCAAUGGCCCUCGAGGUACACAGCAUUCCAGGCAUGGUCGAACUCUCCAGAGAAGCUUUGUCCGGUCUGGUAGCCAAAGCCCUUGGAGUAGCCAGGCACGGUGACACAGUGUACACCAGCGAUCCUGGAGGAGGGACAUGGGUCUGAGACGGGGCUGGAGUGCUGGGGGUGGGGACAGGAAGCCAUGGUGCUGGCAGGCCCUGCCUGUGCAGACCGGCUGCAGCCCUGCUGUUUGCUACUCCCCUGAGACGCUUCAACUCACUUCUGAAGUGUCUCCCCAGGGCCUGCUUGACAUGAUCCGCUGCACCGUUCCUCAGGAGGAAAAAUGAGGACAAGCGUGAGGGUGGCCUCCAGAACACAGGGAGCAGGGAAACCAAGAUGCUCUUGGAAGAAAACCAACACAAAAGAGCUGUGCACAGAGGCUGGGAAAGCCAGGACACCUCAGGAGGGUGCAGGAGGGAACAGAAAGCACCAUGCUGCAUUAAUGUCUUUCACUGCCUGC